AUUUAAGAGAAAACUAGAAAUGGGACCAUCAGAAGAACAAGUGUCAUUUGAUUUAUAUAUGGUUUCCUAUAAUUGUGAAUACAUUCACUUUGGUUGCCUUGGUUUAUAUCACGUCAUAUAUUAUUUGUAAUAUAAAUUUAAGCAAUAUAGAGGCAAAUCCUACGAGGUUGUCUCCAUUGGUACUGUUCUGAUCCCAGGAUGGAGCACAGAUGUCUCUGAAAAUUGUCAGCAAUAGAAAAGAGUAAAAAACAAGAAGAACUGGAUGAAUGCAAAGACUUCUUUUGUUUUAAACAAGCUUGAAAAGUCUUGCAGAAGUAUUGCCAUUAAAAUUAUUUCAGGGGAUCCCUGGGUGGCGCAGCGGUUUAGCGAUGAGACCCGGAAUCGAAUCCCACGUCAAGCUCCCUGCAUGGAGCCUGCUUUUCCCUCUGCCUAUGUCUCUCCCUCUCUCUCUCUCUCUCUCUCUCUCUGUGACUAUCAUGAGCAAAUAAAUAAAAUCUUUUU
rnacentral:lncRNA from 1 species